UUGAACGCUGGCGGCAGGCCUAACACAUGCAAGUCGAACGGUAACAGGAAGCAGCUUGCUGCUUCGCUGACGAGUGGCGGACGGGUGAGUAAUGUCUGGGAAACUGCCUGAUGGAGGGGGAUAACUACUGGAAACGGUAGCUAAUACCGCAUAACGUCGCAAGACCAAAGAGGGGGACCUUCGGGCCUCUUGCCAUCGGAUGUGCCCAGAUGGGAUUAGCUAGUAGGUGGGGUAACGGCUCACCUAGGCGACGAUCCCUAGCUGGUCUGAGAGGAUGACCAGCCACACUGGAACUGAGACACGGUCCAGACUCCUACGGGAGGCAGCAGUGGGGAAUAUUGCACAAUGGGCGCAAGCCUGAUGCAGCCAUGCCGCGUGUAUGAAGAAGGCCUUCGGGUUGUAAAGUACUUUCAGCGGGGAGGAAGGGAGUAAAGUUAAUACCUUUGCUCAUUGACGUUACCCGCAGAAGAAGCACCGGCUAACUCCGUGCCAGCAGCCGCGGUAAUACGGAGGGUGCAAGCGUUAAUCGGAAUUACUGGGCGUAAAGCGCACGCAGGCGGUUUGUUAAGUCAGAUGUGAAAUCCCCGGGCUCAACCUGGGAACUGCAUCUGAUACUGGCAAGCUUGAGUCUCGUAGAGGGGGGUAGAAUUCCAGGUGUAGCGGUGAAAUGCGUAGAGAUCUGGAGGAAUACCGGUGGCGAAGGCGGCCCCCUGGACGAAGACUGACGCUCAGGUGCGAAAGCGUGGGGAGCAAACAGGAUUAGAUACCCUGGUAGUCCACGCCGUAAACGAUGUCGACUUGGAGGUUGUGCCCUUGAGGCGUGGCUUCCGGAGCUAACGCGUUAAGUCGACCGCCUGGGGAGUACGGCCGCAAGGUUAAAACUCAAAUGAAUUGACGGGGGCCCGCACAAGCGGUGGAGCAUGUGGUUUAAUUCGAUGCAACGCGAAGAACCUUACCUGGUCUUGACAUCCACGGAAGUUUUCAGAGAUGAGAAUGUGCCUUCGGGAACCGUGAGACAGGUGCUGCAUGGCUGUCGUCAGCUCGUGUUGUGAAAUGUUGGGUUAAGUCCCGCAACGAGCGCAACCCUUAUCCUUUGUUGCCAGCGGUCCGGCCGGGAACUCAAAGGAGACUGCCAGUGAUAAACUGGAGGAAGGUGGGGAUGACGUCAAAUCAUCAUGCCCUUUAUGUCCUGGGCUACACACGUACUACAAUGGGUGUAACAGAGGGAAGCAACACAGCGAUGUGAAGCGAAACCCAAAAAGCACCCCCAGUUCGGAUUGAAGGCUGAAAUUCGCCUUCAUGAAGCCGGAAUUGCUAGUAAUGGCAGGUCAGCAUACUGCCGUGAAUACGUUCCCGGGCCUUGUACACACCGCCCGUCACACCAUGGGAGUGGGUUGCAAAAGAAGUAGGUAGCUUAACCUUCGGGAGGGCGCUUACCACUUUGUGAUUCAUGACUGGGGUG
rnacentral:rRNA from 1 species